rnacentral:rRNA from 1 species
AUUGAACGCUGGCGGCAUGCGUUACACAUGCAAGUCGAACGGUAACAGAGUGCUUGCACCGCUGACGAGUGGCGAACGGGUGAGUAAUGCGUCGGAACGUGCCGAGUAGUGGGGGAUAACGCAGCGAAAGUUGUGCUAAUACCGCAUACGUACUGAGGUAGAAAGUGGGGGACCUUCGGGCCUCACGCUAUUCGAGCGGCCGACGUCUGAUUAGCUAGUAGGUGAGGUAAAGGCUCACCUAGGCGACGAUCAGUAGCGGGUCUGAGAGGAUGAUCCGCCACACUGGGACUGAGACACGGCCCAGACUCCUACGGGAGGCAGCAGUGGGGAAUUUUGGACAAUGGGCGAAAGCCUGAUCCAGCCAUGCCGCGUGUCUGAAGAAGGCCUUCGGGUUGUAAAGGACUUUUGUCGGGGAGGAAAUCCCCAGCGCUAAUACCGCUGGGGGAUGACAGUACCUGAAGAAUAAGCACCGGCUAACUACGUGCCAGCCGCCGCAGUAAUAC